UAGGGUUUAGAGUUAAGGGGUGGGGUUUAGGAUUUAGGAUUUAGGGUUUAGGGUUUAGAGUUUAGGAUUUAGGGUUUAGGGUUUAGGGUUUAGGUUUUAGAGGUUAGAGUUUAGGGUUUAGAGUUUAGGGUUUAGGAUUUUGGGUUUAGGGUUUAGAGUUUAGGGUUUAGAGUUUAGAGUUUGGGUUUUAGGGUUUAGAGUUUAGGUAGAGUUGAGAAGUGGGGUUUUGGGAUAAGAUUUCAAAUUUUGAAAAAUAAAAAAAAUUAAAUU
rnacentral:lncRNA from 1 species